UACGAAGGGGGCUAGCGUUGCUCGGAAUUACUGAGCGUAAAGCGCACGUAGGCGGCUUUCUAAGUCGGGGGUGAAAUCCUGGAGCUCAACUCCAGAACUGCCUUCGAUACUGGAAAGCUCGAGUCCGGAAGAGGAGAGUGGAAUUCCUGGUGUAGCGGUGAAAUGCGCAGAUAUCAGGAGGAACACCCGUGGCGAAGGCAGCGCUCUGGGACGGGACUGACGCUGAGACGCGAAAGCGUGGGGAGCGAACAGG
rnacentral:rRNA from 1 species